ACAAAAAAGAAGAAGAAGAGCAAAAAGGAGACUUUCUUGACACAAAAGUCCUCUUCUUUUCCUCUUUCUUCUUCUUCUUCUUCUUUGUCUU
rnacentral:ribozyme from 1 species